CACUAUUGGAUGAGCCUGCGUAAGAUUAGCUAGUUGGUAGGGUAAAGGCCUACCAAGGCGACGAUCUUUAGCUGGUCUGAGAGGAUGAUCAGCCACACUGGAACUGAGACACGGUCCAGACUCCUACGGGAGGCAGCAGUGGGGAAUAUUGGACAAUGGGGGCAACCCUGAUCCAGCCAUGCCGCGUGUGUGAAGAAGGCCCUUGGGUUGUAAAGCUCUUUCGUCGGGGAAGAAAAUGACUGUACCCGAAUAAGAAGGUCCGGCUAACUUCGUGCCAGCAGCCGCGGUAAUACGAAGGGACCUAGCGUAGUUCGGAAUUACUGGGCUUAAAGAGUUCGUAGGUGGUUGAAAAAGUUAGUGGUGAAAUCCCAGAGCUUAACUCUGGAACUGCCAUUAAAACUUUUCAGCUAGAGUAUGAUAGAGGAAAGCAGAAUUUCUAGUGUAGAGGUGAAAUUCGUAGAUAUUAGAAAGAAUACCAAUUGCGAAGGCAGCUUUCUGGAUCAUUACUGACACUGAGGAACGAAAGCAUGGGUAGCGAAGAGGAUUAGAUACCCUCGUAGUCCAUGCCGUAAACGAUGUGUGUUAGACGUUGGAAAUUUAUUUUCAGUGUCGCAGGGAAACCGAUAAACACACCGCCUGGGGAGUACGACCGCAAGGUUAAAACUCAAAUGAAUUGACGGGGACCCGCACAAGUAGUGGAGCAUGUGGUUUAAUUCGAAGAUACGCGCAGAACCUUACCAACACUUGACAUGUUCGUCGCGACUCUAAGAGAUUAGAGUUUUCGGUUCGGCCGGACGAAACACAGGUGCUGCAUGGCUGUCGUCAGCUCGUGUCGUGAGAUGUUGGGUUAAGUCCCGCAACGAGCGCAACCCUCACUUUUAGUUGCCAUCAUUAAGUUGGGCACUCUGAAAGAACUGCCAGUGAUAAGCUGGAGGAAGGUGGGGAUGACGUCAAGUCCUCAUGGCCCUUACGUGUUGGGCUACACACGUGCUACAAUGGUAUCUACAACAGGAAGCAAGACUGCGAAGUUAAGCAAAUCCCUAAAAGAUACCUCAGUUCGGAUUGCACUCUGCAACUCGAGUGCAUGAAGCUGGAAUUACUAGUAAUCGUGGAUCAGCGUGCCACGGUGAAUGCGUUCCCGGGUCUUGUACACACCGCCCGUCACACCAUGGGAGUUGGUUCUACCUUAAGGCAAGGUUUCAAACCCUUGACCACGGUAUAGUCAGCGACUGGGGUGAAGUCGUAACAAGGUAACCGUA
rnacentral:rRNA from 1 species